rnacentral:rRNA from 1 species
CUCACCAGGUCAGGACACGGUAAGGAUUGACGGACUGAAGGCUCUUUCUCGAUUCCGUGGAAAGUGGUGCAUGGCCGUUUUGGUUGGUGGAUCGAUCCGUCUGGUUAAUUCCGUUAACGAACGAGACCUCGGCACUCCGAAUAGCGCGGCGGACGUCGCGGCCUCCGGGCCGUCUUCCGCACGAGCUUCUUAGAGGGACCGUCCCCCGCCGGGGAAGGAGGUGCGAGGCAACGACAGGUCUGUGAUGCCCUUAGAUGUUCUGGGCCGCACGCGCAUUACACUGACGCGUCCAACGGGUGACUCCCGACCCGAAGGGGCCGGGGAAUCCGCAAGGCGCGUCGUGAUGGGGAUUGAACGUUGCAAUUGUUGUUCACGAACGAGGAAUUCCUAGUAGGCGCGGGUCAUCAACCCCGCG